rnacentral:rRNA from 1 species
UGGGGAAUCUUGCGCAAUGGGCGAAAGCCUGACGCAGCCAUGCCGCGUGUAUGAUGAAGGUCUUAGGAUUGUAAAAUACUUUCACCGGGGAAGAUAAUGACGGUACCCGGAGAAGAAGCCCCGGCUAACUUCGUGCCAGCAGCCGCGGUAAUACGAAGGGGGCUAGCGUUGCUCGGAAUUACUGGGCGUAAAGGGCGCGUAGGCGGACAUUUAAGUCAGAGGCGAAAGCCCAGGGCUCAACCUUGGAAUUGCCUUUGAUACUGGAUGUCUUGAGUUCGGGAGAGGUGAGUGGAAUGCCGAGUGUAGAGGUGAAAUUSGUAGAUAUUCGGCGGAACACCAGUGGCGAAGGCGACUCACUGGCCCGAUACUGACGCUGAGGCGCGAAAGCGUGGGGAGCAAACAGGAUUAGAUACCCUGGUAGUCCACGCCGUAAACGAUGAGUGCUAGUUGUCGGCAUGCAUGCAUGUCGGUGACGCAGCUAACGCAUUAAGCACUCCGCCUGGGGAGUACGGUCGCAAGAUUA